rnacentral:lncRNA from 10 species
AGAACGGCCACAUGUCCUAAGAGGGUUUCUGAUUUCUGGAAGCUUAAUAGAGCCCGGAUAAAACCAAUGGAAAGGGCAUAUUGUCCAUGUAGUUUCUUGUGCCUGGAAAUGUUGCAGGGCUAUUUUCCAUUCUUAUGUAAUGUGUGUUCUGCAAAGCUCUAGCCAAGCCAGGAAGCAGAAAGCAGCAGCCAACACACAUCUAAUGUACUUGGAACCAAGGGGCCAAGGCUCUAUACCAGGUGGCUCUGGACUUGCUGGAUGGCUUCGCUCAAUCCAUUUCCCGCAAAAUAAAGAGUGCAGGAACUUGUCCUCUAAGAAGAAAAAGUGGAGAAGUGAAUAUUCUCAGAUAUGGGUCCUCUAGAAGCACUGGAACUUUCAGGGGUGUCUCCUGCAAACUGAUGAUAAAAGUAGAAGAGAACUCCUAAUGUCCACCUGUACAACAGGCAUCAGGAUAAGUAGUGAAAAGAGGAAUGAGUAAAAUGUUUGCUUAAGAAAUAGUCAAACAAAGGCAGUACAAAGGCUAAAUAUUACUGUUCUAUGCUGCCUCUCUCCCUUAGAGAAAGAUGUCUUGGUACCCACUGGCCAACCAUCUUUUGAACUACUUAUUGCCUAAAGGGGUCUAUCACAUCUCUGGAGGCCCCAGUAGAAAAUAAAACAUUGUGAAAUGGGCUGCAAUACCCAACUGCAAUUGUCAACCCCUCUUCUUUUAUUUCUCCAUUGCCAGUCAGUAUCCAGGUAGCAUCAGUAUUUCUAUUUAAGGCUUCUGCUGCCAGACAUCUGAACACCCACUUCUCUAUAAGCUCUCAGUAUCCUCACAUAUCCCGCUGUAAUACCUUGUCUUCCAGUCCUCCAGUCUCACGCCAAUCACACAUCAUAGUCUAAUUCACUACUUAGUGCACAAGAGCUUGGCUAAACCAAUGAUAAGUCUGGGAAUGGAAUGUCCAAAACAGUCUUUCACUUACGGUGUGAGU